rnacentral:tRNA from 1 species
CGUGCGCGCGCAGCUUGGCGGUGACGUGAUCUUCAAUCACGUAGUUGUAGUAGAAGUGCAGCGACAGGCUGGGGUCGCGGCUCAGGUGUUCGAC